rnacentral:rRNA from 1 species
GACAGAGGGUGCAAGCGUUGUUCGGAAUUAUUGGGCGUAAAGGGCGCGUAGGCGGCGCCGUAAGUCACGUGUGAAAUCCCAGGGCUUAACCCUGGAAGUGCGCGUGAUACUGCGGUGCUUGAGUACCGGAGAGGAUGCUGGAAUUCCCAGUGUAGAGGUGAAAUUCGUAGAUAUUGGGAGGAAUACCGGUGGCGAAGGCGAGCAUCUGGACGGUAACUGACGCUGAGGCGCGAAAGCGUGGGGAGCAAACAGG